rnacentral:tRNA from 1 species
GGAGGGGUCGCAUAGUGGCCUAGUGCGGGCGCCUGCUAAGCGCUUAUCUCGGGAAACCGGGAUCGAGGGUUCGAAUCCCUCCCCCUCCGCCA